CAUAGCAUAUGGAGGUUCCCAGGCUAGGGGUCCAAUUGGAGCUGUAGCCACUAGCCUUUGCCACAGCAACGCCAGAUCUGAGCCACGUCUGCGACCUAUACCACAGCUCACAGCAACACCGGAUCCUUAACCCACUGAGCAAGGCCAGGGAUCGAACCCACAACCUCAUGGUUCCUAGUCGGAUUUGAGCAUGAUGGGAACGCCAAGAUUUUUUUUUUCCUUUGCCCAAAACUGUCUGAGUUUCUAUUCAGCACUGGUGAACAGAGGCCAAGUUUCAGCAACAAGUCCAAGAGUCUUUGCCACUGGGAUGCAGGCAUGUGUCUUCCAUAGAGAAGAGUGGAUAAUGUCAUCCUUGACAUGAUCUUCAGAAGGUCAGGAGGAUAUACUUUGCAUAUAUUUUAGUUCGUAUUACAGGUUAGCACAAGGAACCCAUGAACUUAAUUGAAACCUUUCUGGAGGCUCACUGUAACAAAUUAUUCUAUCCCAAUAGUUGGUAGAGCCUAUCUGGUUACACCUUAACUUUCAGAUGCCUUCUAAAUAAGCUUAUCAGUAAAAUGUUAGAAUUUAAAGAAACAUUCCCGUGACUGGGAGGUUUUUUUUGUUUGUUUUUUUUGGGGGGGGGGGUAUUGUGUUUUAGGGCCGCACUUGUGGCAUAUGGAGGUUCCCAGGCUAGGGGUUGAACUGGAGCUACAGCUGUCGGCCUACACCACAGCCACAUCAGAUCCAAGCCAUGUCUGCGACCUACACUACAGCUCACAGCAAUGCCAGAUCCUUAACCCACUGAAUGAUGCCAGGGAUUGAACUUGCAACCUCAUGGUUACUAGUUAGAUGUGCUUCCGCUGCACCACGAUGGGAACGCCCCCCAAUGACUGUUAAAUGAGAUCCAGGUGUCACAGGAAAAUUGUGUAUGUGAAAAUGCAGCCCUUUAAAAAAUAAGUUUUAGAGGAUUUUUUGCUUUUGUAAAAAGGAUUCAGAGCAGAAACAAGAUUCCUUUAAAUACAGGGCAGAGAUGAACAGCAAGGGAAAAAGAAAUAGUAUAUGUUAAGUAGCCAUAACAAGCACAACACAUACUUAUUUAAUCUUUACAGCUUUAAAAAAUACCACAUGUUGGAGUUCCCGUCGUGGCACAGUGGUUAACAAAUCUGAUUAGGAGCCAUGAGGUUGCGGGUUCCACCCCUGGCCUUGCUCAGUGGGUUAAGGAUCUGGUGUUGCCGUGAGCUGUGGUGUAGGUCACACACAGCUCAGAUCCCGCCUUGCUGUGGCUCUGGCAUAGACCGAGGUCUACAGCUCCAAUUAGACCCCUAGCCUGGGAAUCUCUGUAUGCCAUGGGAAGCGGCCCUAGAAAAGGAAAAAAAAAAAAAANUCAAUAAGUGCACACACACACACACACACACACACACACACACACACACACACUACUAGAUGUUACUCCCAAUUACGGAUGAAGAAACCAAGCUCAAGGGUGGGCAGGGGAGCCAAAGCUUCAUCUUAUCCCUAGACCAGUGGAGUCUCCAGGUAGUUCCCAGAGGCUAUAUAAAAUGGUACUUUGUUUGAAAAUUACCUUCAAGUUUGAACACAUGCCCCUCUGAGUCUAAAAAUAUACAGUGAAAAAGCACUAUAUCCUCUUUUCAGCCAUUUUUCCAGACUGAUUAUUCUUUUUUUUUCUUUUAGGGCUCUACCUGCAACAUAUGGAAGUUCUGGGGCUAGGGGUCGAAUCAGAGCUGCAGUUACCAGCCUGUGCCACAGCCACAGCAACUCAGGAUCCUUAACCCACUGAGUGGGGCCAGAUAUCAAACCUGUAUCUUCGUGGAUACUAAUCAGGUUUCUAACCCAUUGAGCCACAGUGGGAACUCCUAACUAUCCCUUUUAAGAAGCAAUUUCUGCCUGCCUGGUCAUUUUAUUUUAUUUUAUAUUGCUUUUUAGGACUGCACCCAUGACAUAUGGAGGUUCCCAGGCUAGGGGUCUAAUCAGAGCUGUAGCUGCCACCGUCCUGUGCCACAGCCAUAGCAACUCAGGAUCUGAGCCUUGUCUGUGACCUACACCACAGCUCACAGCAAUGCUGGAUCCUUAAUCCUCUGAGCAAGGCCAGGGAUCGAACCUUCAUCCUCAUGGAUACUUACUUGUUGGGUUCCUUAUUGGCUGAGCCACACGGGGAACUCCCUGAGCAGGAUACUUUAAACCUUGGUUUCCUCCUCUGUAGAGAUAUUACUGUUACCUACCUUCCUUAGAGUUGUGAGGAUUAACUCACGUAAUGUGUGUACCACAUUUACCUACUAUCUGGAAAUAGUAAAUAUUCAAUGCCUUUUAGUUAUUACCCUUUAAAUAAAGGAAUUUGGUUUACUGAUGCGAGUUUAAGUUUAGGCUGCAUUCUCCUGUUUAUCCUUGGCCACCAGGGGGCACCAUUGCCUCUGUCCAUUUUUAAGAGGUCAUUUCAAGGUCAAGAUGACCUCAAUCCUCAGCCCUCUCCCCUUUGCUCGCUCCAGUUCUCAGGCACUUAGUUGUAUUUAGACCUAGGGCUAAUUUGGCUGCUUUAUUCAUGCUAAUCCUUCUCCCUUAACUUUCCCCCUGACCUCCCCAGGUCCCAGUCAUGGUCAAGGAAAGACUCUAAGCCAGCUCCUGGGAGAUACCAUUUAGUCCUUUUGAACUCCCUGGUCUUUCCCAUUGGCCUUAUAGCAGUGGAUAUCAGGACUGAACAACUUCAAAACAAAUCAUAAAGUCCUCAUGACACAGGCUUCAGGACACUGUAAACAUUAUGGUUCCCCACCCUUCCUCCAAAUGCCAGCGCUCCAAACUAAGUUACCCUUAUGGUCACUCAAUAAUUAUCCCUUUGGUAGCCUCAUCCUGAGAAUGCCUCCUGUUCUCUUGGAGCACUGGCGUUCAGUCCUCUAGUAUGCUGGCUAGUCUCUGUGGAUAAUUAACCAGAGAGAAGAAACCAGGUCAGACUCUUCCAGAGUUAGGAGGAAAACUUCUGUGAGAUGCUAAAUUGGGAGCAGAUAUUGAUCAGUGGAGCUUUGAAGUCACCGAAUUGAUAGCUGAGGUCAGUCCUCUGAGGCACUGCUGGGCUCUUCUUUAUGAAGUUCUUUGCUAAGACCUACCUCACCUCCAAGCCAGAGGUGCAUUGGUUGGUAGGUGUAACGCUGAGUACCAGGAAACUUGGGAAGAGAAAAUGGCAUUCUUUCUCUUUUUUCCAAGUCCAAGCUAUAAACGAGGUUCUUUAUAAACUGGGUCUAUCUAAACCUGGCUUAGAUGGUACUGAGACCUCUGAACUUUGAUACUGCUGUGUGAGGAGAUAAAAGAACUGUUCACUUGGGGCUGGGGUUUGUAGAUAAAGUGCCUUAGUCCUUGGGUCAGUUCCCCCCUGCCCUCAGGUCAAUGACAAUGAAAGGCCUGGGGAGGUAGAAAGGUCCUAAGUUCUUGUCUACCGAGAGGAAUUAGUUAAGAAUGAUAUGAAAGCAGUUUCCAUCGUGGCGCAGUGGAAAAGAAUCUGACUAGAAACCAUGAAGUUGUGGAUUCAAUCCCUAGCCUUGCUCAGUGGAUUAAGGAUCUGGCAUUGCCCUGAACUGUGGUAUAGGUCACAUAUGUGGCUGGGAUCCCGUGUCAUGUGGCUGUGGCAUAGGCUGGCGGCUCUAGCUCUGAUUCAACCACAGACCUGGAAACCUCCGUAUGCCUCGGGUGUAGCUCUAAAAAGCAGAGGAAGAAAAAGAUAAUGAAAGGUCAUUUUAGUGCUAUGGUUCAUUUAUAACGGUCUCUGGGGAGCAUGAUAAAAAGUGUAUAGAAGACAGCCAAAUAGGUGUAAAGGUCCGGAGGUCCUAUGGGAGUGACAGCAGUGAUGUGACAAAAAGGGAGGUGAUGAAGUUCCAUUGUGGCACAGCAGAAUAAAGAUCCAGUUUGUCACUGCUGUGGCACGUGUUCAUCCCUGGCCCAGGAAAUCAGGCUGCAGGCCUUGGCCAAAGGGGGGGGGGGGAGGUGAUUUUUGUUGCGGGUUGGUUUUUGACGCCUCAACUUUUUUUUUUAUAGUCACACCUGUGGGUUAUGGAAGUUCCUGGGCUAGGGGUGGAAUCAGAACUGCAGCUGCUGGCCACAGCAAUGUUGGAUCUGAGCUUCUCUCAUCUGUGAACUUCCCCACAGCUUGAGGCAGUGCCAGAUCCUUAACCCACUGAGCGAGCCGGGGAUAAACCUGCAUCCUCAUGGACACUAUGUCAGGUUCUUAACCCACUGAGCUACAGUGGGAACUCCAAGCUCAUCUUUCAGCUAGAUAGAUGUGGGGUGGACUGGCUGUGUGGGGUUAUGUGACUGGAGUGGCACUGAAACUAAUGAUCUGUACCCAGAGGGCCUGACCUGCACCGGAAGCCUUCAUAUUAAGGGGGCCUAGUAAGAUUUGGAUUUCUUGGCACUAGACACAAAACUGAGAGUCCGCAAAAACCACUGGAUAUUCAGGGACCUACCUCAGCUUUCCUUCUCCACAUUCUGGGGUCUGUUGGUAUCUACAAUGCCAUGGCUUCCGCUUGCCUCAAAUGACCUCCACCAAGUAGCUAACUCUAACAUCACUGCCUCUGUCCACAUUGUAUCACCUCUAUGGCCAUUAAGUCAUUGACCAAAGACACUGUUCAAGAUAGCAUGCCAAAGAAGUAGGACCACUUGCAUUGAUAGUGUAUUAAGGGGUUGACUUCCGAGGACCUUUAAAAAUCGAAGUCCUUAGCGCUUUUUCACUAAAAGCCAUCUCAGAAUUAACCCCAACUGUGGAUAAGGGUUAAGGAGAAAGCCUAAGAAGGAAGUUAACUGGGUUCUCAGGCACAUACUUAGCCACCUAUACGCUUCCCCCCGCCCUUACACCCUUAAUUAGCCUACCUCGGACGGUCCAAUCCUCCCCAUCACAACUGCUGUCAACGGCUUAGGGCCCGCCCCCCACGCAGGCCGGACCAAUGGCCGAGCCCGGAGCAAGCCCUUGAGAGGGGGCGGGAGCGGGUUCCGGGCGGUAGGCGGGGCUUCCUUGAGGACCCCGGGCUGGGCGCCGCCGCCGGCUCGUCUACCCUUUCCCUCAGCAGCCUCCUUUCAACCUUGUCCCCCCCCCAAGCCAGCGCGGCUUCUGGGGCAGCGGCGGCGGCAGCUCCCGUUCCUGCCGCAUUUCUCUUCCCUCCUUCCCUCCCCGCCAGAUCUCCGAAUUCGCCUGCCAUGGCCUUACUCACUGCGGCCGCCCGGCUCUUCGGAGCCAAGGUGAGUAACUAAGGGAGGGAGCGCGCCGUCCUGGGGUGGG
rnacentral:lncRNA from 1 species